AACUGCACCGGAUCGACGCCGCGAGUCACCACCAGGUAGUCACGCAUCGCGACGCCGUGGCGAUUCUC
rnacentral:sRNA from 1 species